rnacentral:lncRNA from 1 species
AAGAUGAUGAGUCAGACACGGAGCAGGAAUGUGAAUCACCCAACGUCAUGCUCUCACAGCUGGGGCAGGAUGACAAUGCAGCGUGGACCACUUGGUGCUACAGACGAGGCUUCUCUAUGGAGUGACAGUCAUCGCUUAUGUCCUCAGUCACCAGUGUGGAAUUAAGAGAGUGGUAGGAUUCACUUAAACAGGCGAGCAUUUCUUGGAAAAAUACUGAUACAGGUCUGAGACCCUCUGAUUUUUCUUGGAAUCCCCAGGAGUUAGCAAAAUCUGUGCAGCAGCCAUUGCAUCUUCUAGCAGGAAAGUUUCUACCAAAGACCUUUCCAGUAUCAACAUAUGAAGAAGAAGAAAGAAACUGGCUGUUACCGAUCUCACAGUCUUUCUGAUGGACAAAAGUGACAAAGCAUGAAGACUGAAGACGACAGGAAUUUUAUAUUUAG